rnacentral:lncRNA from 1 species
ACGUCACUGGCGCUACACAAUUCCCAUUCAUUCUUACGGUCCUCGACUGAUGAGCAGCCCCUUCUUUCCCACCUGUCUCCGAAUUCGUUGCGGAGAAUCUGCUUCUACCCAAGUAGCAUUGUCAUCUACUUUCUGGGUGGCGCCCAUCAAGGAAAUGUCUACUUUCUAGAUAGAACAAUUUUCUUGAAAGAAAAUAGGUAGAAAGUAGAUCUAGAAAAUAGACACAAGAAAAUAGAAAGAAAAUACAUUUUUUCCUUGCAUUUUCUUAAAAGAAAACAUUAAGAAAUUGGCUAGAAAAUAAUUCUACUUUCAAUAAAUUUUCUAUAUUUUUUCCAAAUGGAAAGUUGACAGAAAGUAGACAUAUGAAAUAGAUAUAUUUCUUUGGUCAGACUUUUGACUCGCAAUGUUUUUUCUUUCUAUUUUCUGGAUAGCUCUCAUUUUCUUUGUUUUUUUCUAGAAAUUUUCUGAAUAUUUUUUUUCUAGAAAAAAAUUCUAUUUUGCUACUUGGGUAGGUAGAGGUAUAUUAUUCUGCAAGUUAUGGACAGACCUACGCUCACUUAGUACGAUAAAAACUCAUACAGGAAAUGAAGGAGACCCAACGCUAUAUAGCGUAGAAAGCUGGAGGGCUCCUAUAAAGAUAAGAAAUUUCUUGAUUUUUGUUUCAGGAUUGUAACCCGUUACAAGUUUACGAGAAGAACGAGUGCCGGUGCAAGUGCGCCAACACAGAGAAACAGAAAAAUGCGAGAACGAAAGUGCCACCAAACUGUGGGACCCCAAGAGCUGUUCCUGUCAAUGCCGAGAAGUCCAAGAGUGCAGCACUGGAUUGAUUUGGGAUAAUUUGCGAUGCAGCUGUGUUCCGACUCCAAGAACGAAGAACAGGAUUGGGCAGGACGCGCAAGAUCGAACGCGAUACAGACUUGGAGCUGAUAGGAUUUAGACAGCCGUUUACAGGAGCAUUCUGCAAUAAAAUUGGCGAUUCGUUGACCUUAGUGAGAUUAUAUUUUCUGUGUGCCUGCGUGUGAUUUUUUGAGCUGCAAACAGUGGCGAGGCGUGAAUGAUCGAUUAUCGAUAUUUCCCUAUUUGAAGCUAUGGGAAAGAAUCGAUGAUUAAGGUGCUCGUCGCGAACACCCUGUUGAUCGAUCUUUUGCCAUAGAUUUAAAUUAUAGUCCCUUUAUACCCAAAGUUAAGAC